ACGGGGGGUGCGAGCGUUGUCCGGAAUCACUGGGCGUAAAGGGCGCGUAGGUGGCGUCGUAAGUCUGUGGUGAAAGCCCGGAGCUCAACUCCGGGUCUGCCGCGGAUACUGCGAGGCUUGAGUGCUGUAGAGGGGGGUAGAAUAUCGGGUGUAGCGGUGGAAUGCGUAGAGAUCCGAAGGAACACCGGUGGCGAAGGCGGCACGCUGGGUCCCUACUGACGCUGAGGCGCGAAAGCCAGGGGAGCGAACGGGA
rnacentral:rRNA from 1 species